UUGACGGGGAGCACCACGAACGGGUGGAGCUUGUCGGUUUAAUUGGAUUCAACGCCGGAAAUCUUACCGGGACCGACAGCAAUAUGAAGGCCAGGCUGAAGACUUUGCCGGAUUAGCUGAGAGGUGGUGCAUGGCCGUCGUCAGUUCGUACUGUGAAGCAUCCUGUUAAGUCAGGCAACGGGCGAGACCCACGCCCACAGUUGCCAGCGUACUCUCCGGAGUGACGGGUACACUGUGGGGACCGCCGCUGCUAAAGCGGAGGAAGGAAUGGGCAACGGUAGGUCAGUAUGCCCCGAAUAUCCCGGGCUACACGCGAGCUACAAUGGUUGGUACAAUGGGUAUCUACCCCGAAAGGGGACGGAAAUCUCCUAAAACCAAUCUUAGUUCGGAUUGAGGGCUGCAACUCGCCCUCAUGAAGCUGGAAUCCGUAGUAAUCGCGUUUCAACAGAACGCGGUGAAUACGUCCCUGCUCCUU
rnacentral:rRNA from 1 species